UGCGUAGGCGGACUAAUAAGUCAGUGGUGAAAUCUUUCGGCUCAACCGGGAAACUGCCAUUGAUACUGUUAGUCUUGAGUUCGGUUGAGGUAGGCGGAAUGUGUAAUGUAGCGGUGAAAUGCUUAGAUAUUACACAGAACACCAAUUGCGUAGGCAGCUUACUAGACCGACACUGACGCUGAGGCACGAAAGCGUGGGGAGCGAACAGGAUUAGAUACCCCUGGUAGUCC
rnacentral:rRNA from 1 species